rnacentral:tRNA from 8 species
GGAAGCGUCUAGGAACCCGGUGGGCCUCCCGGACUUCAAAUCCGGUGUCCGGCUCUAGACAAGCUGGAGGUGGGUUCGACUCCCACACGCUUCCGCCA